rnacentral:rRNA from 1 species
UAGAGUUUGAUCAUGGCUCAGAUUGAACGCUGGCGGCAUGCCUUACACAUGCAAGUCGAACGGCAGCACGGGAGCAAUCCUGGUGGCGAGUGGCGAACGGGUGAGUAAUACAUCGGAACGUGCCCUGUCGUGGGGGAUAACUAGUCGAAAGAUUAGCUAAUACCGCAUACGACCUGAGGGUGAAAGCGGGGGACCGCAAGGCCUCGCGCGAUAGGAGCGGCCGAUGUCUGAUUAGCUAGUUGGUGAGGUAAGAGCUCACCAAGGCGACGAUCAGUAGCUGGUCUGAGAGGACGAUCAGCCACACUGGGACUGAGACACGGCCCAGACUCCUACGGGAGGCAGCAGUGGGGAAUUUUGGACAAUGGGGGCAACCCUGAUCCAGCAAUGCCGCGUGUGUGAAGAAGGCCUUCGGGUUGUAAAGCACUUUUGUCCGGAAAGAAAUCCCCUGGGAUAAUACNCGGGGGGAUGACGGUACGGAAGAAUAAGCACCGGCUAACUAC